rnacentral:rRNA from 1 species
UACGGGGGGGGCAAGCGUUGUUCGGAAUUACUGGGCGUAAAGGGCGCGUAGGCGGCCUGUUAAGUCGAACGUGAAAUCCCCGGGCUCAACCCGGGAACUGCGUCCGAUACUGGCAGGCUUGAAUCCGGGAGAGGGAUGCGGAAUUCCAGGUGUAGCGGUGAAAUGCGUAGAUAUCUGGAGGAACACCGGUGGCGAAGGCGGCAUCCUGGACCGGCAUUGACGCUGAGGCGCGAAAGCGUGGGGAGCGAACAGG